CGCUGACAUUCUUGAUUUUCUGUGGGUAUCUUUAGGAGCUAUUGCGCAAGUUUAUUGAUCCCUUAUUCGCCUUAAUUUGAAAUAACUGACAAUGAAUUAAUUUAUGAAGUAAAGAUUGUAUCUUUGAUAGAUUUUCUUCAAAAUAGAUGCAUGCAGAGAGAGAUUCUAGUUCAAGACUUCCAUGAGUCCAUCCAAUUGGGAAAGAAUGAUGUUGUAAUGAGGCUUUUGGUUUUGCAUAUCUCUGUUUUCAGAUGACAUUGUGUGUUAUUUCUUGAUGUGGAUUGAGAUUCUAGUUUAGGGUUGUAUUUAAUUUUGAUUAAGUUGGAUUUGAGGAAAAAUCUUGAUUUGUGUUUAUUUGUUGUGUUUUAUAAUAAAAAUGUCUAGUUGUUUUGUUCAGCUGACUGGACACACUGUAAUCAGUUACAGUUUUGCUGAAUUUUUAUCAGCCAUGCUUAAUCUCAUUCCCGGAUUUACCUUCGUGUUUGCUGUUGUUUUCAGGCUCUUGAUUAUGCCAAAUGUCGUGCUUAAAUUGAUCAGUGGCUUCUCUUUCAUAAGAAGGAAAUGGCAAUUUCUUAAACUUUGAUUGUGCGGUGUUUCAACUUUCAAAUGGCAGUGCUAAACUGUAGGAAUUCAAAAUUAUUAGGAACGCUGGUCUUCAUUUCUGGUGCCUUUGUUGUCACUCUCUACAAAGGCCCCGAGAGCCUGACUAAUCUGUUGUCUCCUAAGUUGCAUUAUGAGUAUAUUGGUGUAGUAGCAGUCAAGUUGGAUUUUAGGAGGGUUAUUCCUUGCUGAAAACUGUGUCGUUGCUUCAGCCUGCAUAAUUGGACAGAUAUAACUCCACUUAUAGAAAUGAAGAGAAACCAGACAAGUUAGGAAUGGAAUCUUUUCAUAUUUAUAUUCAUUUUGCAAUUGUCGAUUCUCUAGAAAUACCCAGCAGAGCUGGUUAUAGUAUUCCUUUACUGCUUCUCUGCUGCCAUUCUGUCCACAUUUGAAUCUGUGAUCUCUGAUUGAGACCUUAGUGCUUGACGGUUGCAACCAUGAACCUGACUGAUUGUUGUUCUGUAUUCAGUAGGUGAUAGAUGAGCUGUUUCAUAUCGAAAGUCACAGUUGAUACUGAACUUCUAUCUCAAUGCUAGACAAUGGUUGGAUCAAAACCAGUUUGUUAUGUUGAAAACUAUGUUUGGAAAAUCACCUUAUCCAUAUUUGGCUGUAUAAUUUGCGCAACCUCGCUUCUUCAUAGGGAGUAAAUGGCUCUGCAUUCCAAGUGUAACUGCAUGGUGCCUGCACAAAAAAGGUUCCCUUUUCAUUCCAAUGUUUCAUCCGUUAGGGUUCAUGAUAUCUGCUGUUAUUGGUAUUAUCUUCUUGGGAGAUAUUCUGUAUCUUGGAAGGUGGGUUUGCUAGGGUCAGUUAAUAUCGUUGUCGGGUUGUACUCAGUGAUGUGGGGAAAGGCAAAAGAAGUUAAGGUGAUUGAGAACAGCAACAACCGACUUUCUGCAACCAUUAGUGUGAAUGCUCCCAUUGAGGAUGAGCAGACUGUGUCAUUAGACAAGAGCAUGACGCCAUUCACUUGCUAAUAUACGGAGGCACCGCGGAAGCCAUAUCCAUUUUCUGGCCUUUCUUGUAGAGGUCAACAGUCUAAUGCUGGAGAGGAUCGACGUCUCUUUGAAGGAGGAGACAUGUUUGACAAGUAUCUUCCUUCCUAUCCUUUCACACACAUGAAGUGUACAUGCCUCCUCAUCCUAUACUAUAUGUUUUUUUCUUGUACAAUGUCAAAUCUCACUCAUUCUUUCUCUUUAUUAUCCGUUGACACUCGUGCAUGAGCUGCAUCCUGUUUUAUACAAUAUGACUAUUUUUGGUGAAUAGCUGACCAGUCUUGGCUGCAGGUGGAAGAAGUCAGAAUAGUGAGACAUUGUCUAAACAUGGGAGGCAUGACCUUCAAAUUCUAAGUUUUGAAUGGAUUCAAAUGUUGUAUAUUAUUCUUAUUUUGUAAAAUACAGCACAGAAACUACUGCUGAAUUUUACACAUGCAUAUGUUACUACCUAUGACUGUAAAAGUUGAGCAUUGUUGGUGAUGAGAAGUUUAUCACUUCAAAUGUGUGUAAUGCAUAAUUGGAUUUUCCAUCCUCUGAAAUAUGUAUUGAUAUUGCCUGGGGCAUUUUUCUUA